rnacentral:lncRNA from 1 species
AGAUUAUAUUGUUUUCUUCUAUUUAUUUUUAUUGUUUUGGUCUGGGAUAUAUUUGAAAGCCUGUCAAUGGUGUCCUUUGCAGUUGCUUCAAGAGCCGUAAAACAAUUGGUACAAUUUGAAAAUGCUGAUUUAUUGUUGAUGCCAAAAUAUAGACAUGUUUUUGAAUAAGAAAUCAUGUGAGAUUCAUAAAUUUCCUUAAGCUGACAGAGACUCCAGAGUUCAUUUAGUCUAGUCUCUUCAUUUUACAAAUGAUUAUGGUAAAGGGGCUCAAAAUCAAAUGAUUAAUUGGUAGCAGUUUGUUUU